UACGUAGGAGACGAGCGUUGUCCGGAGUUACUGGGCGUAAAGGGUGCGCAGGUGGCGGCGCGCGUGGGGGGUGAAAUCGCCCGGCUUAACUGGGCGGGGGCCUUCCAGACGGCGUGGCUUGAGCAGCGGAGGGGGACGUGGAAUUCCGGGUGUAGCGGUGGAAUGCGUAGAGAUCCGGAAGAACACCGGUGGCGAAGGCGGUCGACUGGGCCAGUACUGACGCUGAGGCGCGACAGCGUGGGGAGCAAACAGG
rnacentral:rRNA from 1 species